UCCGAAGGGGGCUAGCGUUGCUCGGAAUUACUGGGCGUAAAACGCACGUAGGCGGAUUGUUAAGUCGGGGGUGAAAUCCUGGAGCUCAACUCCAGAACUGCCUUCGAAACUGGCGAUCUUGAGUUCGGGAGAGGUGAGUGGAACUGCGAGUGUAGAGGUGAAAUUCGUAGAUAUUCGCAAGAACACCAGUGGCGAAGGCGGCUCACUGGCCCGAUACUGACGCUGAGGUGCGAAAGCGUGGGGAGCAAACAGG
rnacentral:rRNA from 1 species